UACCUGGUUGAUCCUGCCAGUAGUCAUAUGCUUGUCUCAGAGAUAUAAGCCAUGCAUGUGUAAAUAUGAACUAAUCUCAACACUGUGAAA
rnacentral:rRNA from 1 species